rnacentral:lncRNA from 1 species
GCACGUGUCUGGGGCAGGAUCCCAGCGCAGCCCUGCACUGUGUCCGCCACGCCUCCAGGCGGCGCAGGUCGGGCACUUCCCUCCUUCACUUGGGCAUCUGCCACUCUUCCCCCAGGAAGCCUCCCCGCCUGUCAGGAGGAGAAGACCCCAGCUAGGGAGCUAGGAGUGAGCCCCAGCAGGAGGCGCCCCCCGGGACCUCACCCUCUCUCCGCCUUUUCACCGCCUUUGUCCGGCACACGCGCAGAAGCCUCCCCGGGUCUCGCGACUACGACUCCCACAAGGCGCUGCGGCCAAGGCCGUUACCGCUUCCUUCCCGGAGUUACAUGAUGCAGGCGCGCGUCACCGGGGGAAACUUCCGCUUUCGCUCCCUCUUUGUUUGCCGAUCCUCCGGAUUGUUUGCUCCACCCGCUGUGCCUUCUGACAACUCUGCUCUUCCACAAGAGAAGAGCACAGAGGAGGAGGAGGGAAUGGCUGAUGUAUUUCUGACAAGCUGGCUCCACCAGGUUGGAACCCCAGAGACCUGGAUGCUGCACUCGAUGGGUAUGUACCUGAUUGCCUAGAAUCCCUCUCCUUUUUCCCACAGCUUUCAUUUGCCCAAUCAGUACUAUUU